rnacentral:tRNA from 1 species
UCCUGGCUGGCUCAGUGGGUACAGCAUUUGACUCUUGAUCUCAGGGUCAUGAGUUCAAGCCCCAUGCUGGGUG